UGGGGAAUAUUGCACAAUGGGGGAAACCCUGAUGCAGCGACGCCGCGUGGAGGAAGAAGGUCUUCGGAUUGUAAACUCCUGUCCCAGGGGACGAUAAUGACGGUACCCUGGGAGGAAGCACCGGCUAACUACGUGCCAGCAGCCGCGGUAAAACGUAGGGUGCAAGCGUUGUCCGGAAUUACUGGGUGUAAAGGGAGCGCAGGCGGAUUGGCAAGUUGGGAGUGAAAUCUAUGGGCUCAACCCAUAAAUUGCUUUCAAAACUGUCAGUCUUGAGUGGUGUAGAGGUAGGCGGAAUUCCCGGUGUAGCGGUGGAAUGCGUAGAUAUCGGGAGGAACACCAGUGGCGAAGGCGGCCUACUGGGCACUAACUGACGCUGAGGCUCGAAAGCAUGGGUAGCAAACAGG
rnacentral:rRNA from 4 species